rnacentral:rRNA from 1 species
CUGGCUCAGGAUGAACGCUAGCUACAGGCUUAACACAUGCAAGUCGAGGGGCAGCAUUGGGGUAGCAAUACUCAGAUGGCGACCGGCGCACGGGUGAGUAACACGUAUCCAACCUGCCGCUUACUCGGGGAUAGCCUUUCGAAAGAAAGAUUAAUACCCGAUGGUAUAAAGAGUUCGCAUGUUCUCUUUAUUAAGGAAUUUCGGUAAGCGAUGGGGAUGCGUUCCAUUAGAUAGUUGGCGGGGUAACGGCCCACCAAGUCUACGAUGGAUAGGGGUUCUGAGAGGAAGGUCCCCCACAUUGGAACUGAGACACGGUCCAAACUCCUACGGGAGGCAGCAGUGAGGAAUAUUGGUCAAUGGACGAGAGUCUGAACCAGCCAAAGUAGCGUGAAGGAUGACUGCCCUAUGGGUUGUAAACUUCUUUUAUAAGGGAAUAAAGUGAGGGACGUGUCCCUUUUUGUAUGUACCUUAUGAAUAAGGAUCGGCUAACUCCGUGCCAGCCGCGGC